AGGGAAUCUUCCGCAAUGGACGAAAGUCUGACGGAGCAACGCCGCGUGAGUGAUGAAGGUUUUCGGAUCGUAAAGCUCUGUUGCCAGGGAAGAACGUCUUGGAGAGUAACUGCUCUGAGAGUGACGGUACCUGAGAAGAAAGCCCCGGCUAACUACGUACCAGCAGCCGCGGUAAUACGUAGGGGGCGAGCGUUGUCCGGAAUUAUUGGGCGUAAAGCGCGCGCAGGCGGCUGUUUAAGUCUGGUGUUUAAUCCUGGGGCUCAACCCCGGGUCGCACUGGAAACUGGACAGCUUGAGUGCAGAAGAGGAGAGUGGAAUUCCACGUGUAGCGGUGAAAUGCGUAGAGAUGUGGAGGAACACCAGUGGCGAAGGCGACUCUCUGGGCUGUAACUGACGCUGAGGCGCGAAAGCGUGGGGAGCAAAC
rnacentral:rRNA from 1 species